UACGUAGGGUGCGAGCGUUAAUCGGAAUUACUGGGCGUAAAGCGUGCGCAGGCGGUUUUGUAAGUCAGAUGUGAAAUCCCCGGGCUUAACCUGGGAACUGCGUUUGAAACUACAAGGCUAGAGUGUGGCAGAGGGGGGUGGAAUUCCACGUGUAGCAGUGAAAUGCGUAGAGAUGUGGAGGAACACCGAUGGCGAAGGCAGCCCCCUGGGGAUAACACUGACGCUCAUGCACGAAAGCGUGGGGAGCAAACAGG
rnacentral:rRNA from 1 species